CGAAAAGUAUUAAUUUAGUGAUUGUUUUUUAAUUAAUUAGUGUAUUUUGGGUGUAACUGAUUUAAUGUUAUCAAAUACAUAUAAAUUGUGGCCACCUUUUUGUAUUUGUCGAAUUUUAUGGCAUAUUUUUGUUAUGAAGUAUUUCGGUAGCUUGCGCGGUUGCUACUUUAGUGCGCAAGUUGUCAAAUUUUUAACCUCACUUUCUUACGAAUGGAAUGCAACAAAAAAUGUUUUUUUUUGUGUCCCAAAGUGAAAAAAAAAAGAAGUUGUGAGUGUAUACAUAACAAUCAAAUUGUGACGUCACAGCCGUGACGCGUCCCGAGGUUAGGUGUGCGGCGCAGGCGGCGAGAGCGCUUCAGUCGACAGCGAGCAGCGGCAGGGGUCGGAUCGGGAGCGGGAGCGGAAGGCGAGGCGAAGCGAGGUGAGUCGGUUUAUUUAAAUUAUUGUGUAUUGUGCGGUUUCGUUCAAUUUAUUCAGUUUGUUACUUGCCGUUGUCGCGAACGGACGUGUGCUCAAGCAAAUCUAAAUUUUCCGGUUUAAAUUUUAAAUUCGGUGACUAGUGAUCGCGUUUGAGUGACACAUUUUAAAUACAGUAAAUAAAAAUAAAAUCAAACACUCAAAUAAUUUAUUGCCACGUAAAUAAUUUUGUCUUUAAUUUCAAUGAAUGAAAGUGGCUUGCUCAAAAUUUAAUGCAAAUAAACAUUUUUUUCGGUUUCAUUAUUAUUAUUAUUUUUUUUAAUGCUACAAACGGUAGCCAACGUGGAAGCGAUAUGGAGGUAGGUCCAUUUUAUUUCUGUGUUGUUGUUUUUUUAUUUCACAAACCAAUAUUUCCUCAAAAUUUAAUUGCAAUUACAAUGUUAUGUACACCGGCUCUAAAUGCGGUGUUGAAAAAUCAUAGUUUGAGUGACACAUUUUAAAUUCAGUAACUAAAAAUAAAGUCAAACACUCAAAUAAUUUAUGCCACGUAAAUAAUUUUGUCUUUAAUUUCAAUGAAUGAAAGUGGCUUGCUCAAAAUUUAAUGCAAAUAAACAUUUUUUUCGGUUUCAUUAUUAUUAUUAUUUUUUUUAAUGCUACAAACGGUAGCCAACGUGGAAGCGAUAUGAAGGUAGGUCCAUUUUAUUGCUGUGUCGUAUUUAUUUAUUUCACAAACCAAUAAUUUCAUAAAAAUUGCAAUUAAAAUCUUUAAAUGCGGUGUUGAAAAGUGAUACUUUGAGUGAUACAUUUUAAAUACAGUAACUAUAAAUAAAAUCAAACACUCAAAUAAAUUAUUGCCACGUAAUAAUUUUGUCUUUAAUUUCAAUGAAUGAAAGUGGCUUGCUCAAAAUUUAAUGCAAAUAAACAUUUUUUUUUUCGGUUUCAUUUUUAUAAUUAUUAUUUUUUUUUAAUGCUACAAACGGUAGCCAACGUGGAAGCGAUAUGAAGGUAGGUCCAUUUUAUUGCUGUGUCGUAUUUAUUUAUUUCACAAACCAAUAAUUUCAUAAAACUUAAUUGCAAUUAAAAUCUUUAAAUGCGGUGUUGAAAAGUAAUAUUUUGAGUGAUACAUUUUAAAUACAGUAACUAAAAAUUAAAUCAAACACUCAAAUAAUUUAUUGCCACGUAAUAAUUUUGUCUUUAAUUUCAAUGAAUGAAAGUGGCUUGCUCAAAAUUUAAUGCAAAUAAACAUUUUUUUUUCGGUUUCAUUUUUAUAAUUAUUUUUUUUUUAUGCUACAAACGGUAGCCAACGUGGAAGCGAUAUGAAGGUAGGUCCAUUUUAUUGCUGUGUCGUAUUUAUUUAUUUCACAAACCAAUAAUUUCAUAAAAAUUGCAAUUAAAAUCUUUAAAUGCGGUGUUGAAAAGUAAUAUUUUGAGUGAUACAUUUUAAAUACAGUAACUAAAAAUAAAGUCAAACACUCAAAUAAUUUAUGCCACGUAAUAAUUUUGUCUUUAAUUUCAAUGAAUGAAAGUGGCUUGCUCAAAAUUUAAUGCAAAUAAACAUUUU